UAUUGCUCACAUGUGGUGGUUGACGGAGCCUGAAAAAACUUUGUACCUUCUCUUCUGCUGGAAAACCACGCUAUCCACUCACUCAUCUCAUAAGUCCACCGGCUACCCAAGACCAACGACAACUAUUCUUUUUCAUGCUAAUCUCUUUUUUGGAUACUAUCCAGGAAACAGCCUUUUCUAACUAUUCUGGCAAUCAGAAGAACAUUUCUCAUGUGUGCAGAGUCUCUUCCGUUGAGUGGAUUCCUGUGAUUCUUGCUGGCACCUGCCCAAAGCCACCACUUGGCUUUCCUGAGUCCAGCAGCUGGACCCCAUCUGUGUCGGCGGCUUCUCUCCACCACCUCCAUCUACUGUUCCCUACAGAUGGGAUCCAGAAAUUCAUGUGAAGUAGGCCAGACUACAUGGAAUUCACGGACAAGAUAUUUCACAGUGGAGCAAAUGGAACAGCACUGUUUCCUUUCUGACUGAUUCCUGAUUCUACAUCUGACGCUUGGUCUCCACUUACUUUGUAGAAUUGGCUUCUUGGACCCUCAGAAACCUAUCCAACCAUCAUGGCCUGGUCAUGAGUUCCUUUGCUUCAUACCUCACCCCAAAGUCAGCAUAGUGCACAAAUUUCAUCUGGAAGCUCUGGGAAGAUGGUUAGAGAGGAUAAGAGCCAAGGUUAGCCUAAGAGACCACCUGGAUGAGUUAGCUUCAAUUGUGUUUUCCAUAAUUGCAUUAUCCAGCUCAAAAUUCAUUGUCCUGGAAGAGGAUCAAAUGGCAUAAGUUGAGUUUGGUGCCCACUGGUUCAAUAGGAGACAGUGGGUAUCAUGAUAGAUAUUCCGUUAUAACUACACAAAAUUAGGGAGAGGCAAUCCACCCUCUAAGAGAACAAAUAUAUAUUUAACAAUGUGCAUUUA